rnacentral:rRNA from 1 species
UACGGGGGGGGCAAGCGUUGUUCGGAAUUACUGGGCGUAAAGGGCUCGUAGGCGGCCAACUAAGUCCGACGUGAAAUCCCAAGGCUUAACCUUGGAACUGCGUCGGAUACUGGAUGGCUUGAAUUCGGGAGAGGGAUGCAGAAUUCCAGGUGUAGCGGUGAAAUGCGUAGAUAUCUGGAGGAACACCGGUGGCGAAGGCGGCAUCCUGGACCAAUUCUGACGCUGAGGAGCGAAAGCCAGGGGAGCAAACGGG